rnacentral:tRNA from 11 species
CAGUGGCCAAGUGGAUAACGCGAUGGUGUUUGAAGCGAAAGGUACUGGGUUCGAGUCCCAGAGUGAA